CCUACGGGAGGCAGCAGUGGGGAAUAUUGGACAAUGGGCGAAAGCCUGAUCCAGCCAUGCCGCGUGUGUGAAGAAGGCCUUCGGGUUGUAAAGCACUUUCAGUGGGGAAGAAAGCCUUGGGGCUAAUACCCUCGAGGAAGGACAUCACCCACAGAAGAAGCACCGGCUAACUCCGUGCCAGCAGCCGCGGUAAUACGGAGGGUGCGAGCGUUAAUCGGAAUUACUGGGCGUAAAGCGCGCGUAGGCGGUCUGAUAAGCCGGUUGUGAAAGCCCCGGGCUCAACCUGGGAACGGCAUCCGGAACUGGGCGGUGAGGGGGAGGGCAGGAAGGGUAAAAUCCCCGGGGUAGGGGUGAAAUGCGUAGAGAUCGGGAGGAAUACCAGGGGCGGAGGGGCCCUCCUGGACUAACACUGACGCUGGGGGGCGAAGGCGUGGGUACCAAACGGAGUUAGAAACCCGUGUAGUC
rnacentral:rRNA from 1 species